AACGAACGCUGGCGGCAUGCCUAACACAUGCAAGUCGAACGAGACCUUCGGGUCUAGUGGCGCACGGGUGCGUAACGCGUGGGAACCUGCCCUUAGGUUCGGAAUAACUCCCCGAAAGGGGUGCUAAUACCGGAUAAUGUCUUCGGACCAAAGAUUUAUCGCCUUUGGAUGGGCCCGCGUUGGAUUAGCUAGUUGGUAGGGUAAAAGCCUACCAAGGCGACGAUCCAUAGCUGGUCUGAGAGGAUGAUCAGCCACACUGGGACUGAGACACGGCCCAGACUCCUACGGGAGGCAGCAGUGGGGAAUAUUGGACAAUGGGCGAAAGCCUGAUGCAGCAACGCCGCGUGCGGGAUGACGGCCUUCGGGUUGUAAACCGCUUUCGCCUGUGACGAAGCGUGAGUGACGGUAAUGGGUAAAGAAGCACCGGCUAACUACGUG
rnacentral:rRNA from 1 species